rnacentral:tRNA from 1 species
ACCGGCGCAUCGGGGGUGGCCAUCCGCUGCGUCGUCGCCGCAGCGUCCUCGAAGCCCGGGUCGACGGCGCUCGGUCCGUCGGCGUCCGUAC